UACGUAGGGGGCGAGCGUUGUCCGGAGUUACUGGGCGUAAAGGGCACGCAGGCGGUGCGGCGCGUUUCGCGUGACAGCGGAGGGCUUAACUCUCCGAGGAUGCGAAAGACGGCGGCACUUGAGGGCCAGAGAGGGACACGGAAUUCCGGGUGGAGUGGUGAAAUGCGUAGAGAUCCGGAGGAACACCGAAGGCGAAGGCAGUGUCCUGGCUGGUGACUGACGCUGAGGUGCGAAAGCUAGGGGAGCGAACAGG
rnacentral:rRNA from 1 species